AACGAACGCUGGCAGCGUGCUUAACACAUGCAAGUCGAACGAGAAAGUCCUUCGAGAUGAGUAGAGUGGCGCACGGGUGAGUAAUGGAUAGGAACGUACCUUUAGGAGGGGGAUAACCACGGGAAACUGUGGCUAAUACCGCAUGAAAUCGCGAGAUCAAAGUGGGCCUAUGCUUGCAAGCUCACACCUAAAGAGCGGCCUAUCUCCCAUUAGCUAGUUGGCGGGGUAAAGGCCCACCAAGGCGACGAUGGGUUGCUGGUCUGAGAGGAUGAUCAGCCACACUGGAACUGAGACACGGUCCAGACUCCUACGGGAGGCAGCAGUGGGGAAUAUUGCACAAUGGGGGAAACCCUGAUGCAGCAACGCCGCGUGAGUGAAGAAGGCCCUUGGGUCGUAAAGCUCUUUCGGCUGGGAAGAAGAGGAUGUUGGUUAAUACCUGACAUUUUUGACGGUACUAGAAGAAGAAGCACUGGCUAAUUCCGUGCCAGCCGCCGCCGUAA
rnacentral:rRNA from 1 species